AAUCAACGCUGGCGGCGUGCCUAACACAUGCAAGUCGAACGAGAAAGUGGAGCAAUCCAUGAGUAAAGUGGCGACCGGGUGAGUAACACGUGACUAACCUACCUUCAAGUGGGGGAUAACCUCGGGAAACCGGGGCUAAUACCGCAUAACAUCCUUAGAGUGGAAAUUCCGGGGAUCAAAGGAGCAAUUCGCUGGAAGAGGGGGUCGCGGCUGACUAGUUAGUUGGCGGGGUAAUGGCCCACCAAGACAGAGAUUGGUAGCCGGCCUGAGAGGGCGCACGGCCACACUGGAACUGAAACACGGUCCAGACUCCUACGGGAGGCAGCAGUGGGGAAUUUUGCGCAAUGGGGGAAACCCUGACGCAGCAACGCCGCGUGGAGGAUGAAGUCCCUUGGGACGUAAACUCCUUUCGACCGGGACGAUAAUGACGGUACCGGUGGAAGAAGCCCCGGCUAACUUCGUGCCAGCCGCCGCCGU
rnacentral:rRNA from 1 species